UACGUAGGGUGCGAGCGUUGCCCGGAAUUAUUGGGCGUAAAGAGCUCGUAGGCGGUUUGUCGCGUCGGCCGUGAAAACUUGGGGCUUAACCCCGAGCCUGCGGUCGAUACGGGCAGACUUGAGUUCGGCAGGGGAGACUGGAAUUCCUGGUGUAGCGGUGAAAUGCGCAGAUAUCAGGAGGAACACCGGUGGCGAAGGCGGGUCUCUGGGCCGAUACUGACGCUGAGGAGCGAAAGCGUGGGGAGCGAACAGG
rnacentral:rRNA from 1 species